CAUUUCAUUCCUUUACUUAAUGUGCACUGAAACUUAUCUUUUAUCUUAAGAAUAAAAGGUGCACAGGUAAAAUGAAAACAAUGAAAAAAGUGCAAUAUUAGUAUUGCUCAGAAAACAGUAGUUUGGUAUUUUGCUUAUAGGAUCAGUGGACUGUGGUGUAACAUCAUCUCAUUCCACUUAAUCUGGCAAUGAAAACAGAA